GCCGCAGCUUGUGGAAGCGGAAAAGUAGCUCGGGGCUGCUGUCAGCGAAAAAAGAAGAAGGAAGUAACUCACAAAGGCACCCACCACAUCUCAUUACGAUAGCUGGGGGCGGAUAUGGUGCAGUCACCCCAUACCUUUAGUAGUUAGUGGGGUUUUUUUUGUUUUGCCACUGCUGAAAUGUGAGCAAGGACCAUGGUGGGUGUUGUUGACAAACAGGAUUGCGAACAGGCAUGGAAAGAAUGCCCCAUCUCCUUAAUAAAGUGUGGAAAUGGGUAUCUGAAGCUUUUCACAACAAAAUAGAGAAGAAAAUUGUACUUUGGACCACUGAAUCCUGCCUCAGUCUAAUCUGUGUUACAUAAGCACAUUCAAGACUUCAGUUCAUAGUUCAAGGUAUUUCAGCUCUCUGGCAAGUUGUAUUGGAUCAUACUCCUUUGCUUUUGACACAUUCCAUCCUACCAAAAGAGGAUCCUGUGACUUCGGUGUCUAACAAAUGAAGGUUUCUCCCUCAUGUGACUCUCAGUCUGCAUUGUUUGUAACCUCUUCUACUACUCUUAACUCUUGGUUAUGUAAUUAAGGCUUCCUCUAACACAGUCUUUCCCACAAAAUGGAAACACUUCCCAUCUUCCCCUCUCAAUCAGGAGGCUUGACUCUGAGCUUACUAAUUUUCUUCACACCUCCUUAAACCCUGGAAAAAUCAGAUGUUUUGUAUUCUUAUCCCCCUACAACCUAUAUUUGAAGUCUCUCAGUACCCAACUCUUGAAGUAUCCACAAUACUAGGUACCCUGCAUUUUAGCUUCCUUGGUAUACUCACUACAUUGAGAUUCCAUAUGUUCAUGGGAAGCAGUGUGGCUCAGAGGUAUAGCAUCUGAUUGUAUGGAAGUCCUGGGUUCAAUCCCUGGCAUCUUCAGUUUAAAAUAAUCUGGCUAUUGGUGAUAUGACAAAUCUUUGCAUAAGUCCUGGGUGAGGGCGGGUUCAUGUAACCCGCCUUUCCCCCGCUUUUAUUGGCCCGUGCAGAAAGAGCCUUUGACAGGAAAAGUUUGGUGAGCUUUUAAUUUGGAUUUCUGUGUGUUAAACAUCUACUCUGAGGGGAUUUCAGUCAGAGAGUGGAUCUGACUUGAAAUAUACUGAGUGUAUGAAAUCUCACAGUCAUAUUUGGAAUACAAAAAAAAUAUAUUUAUUAAAAUUGGAUAAUUGCAUAUUUAUAAUUUAAUAGUAAAAUAUAGGAAGUAUUUGACAUAGGAAUUAUUUAAUACAAUAUAUGCAAUUUAUCAUACAUAGACACCAUACCGUCUGUUUGUAUACAUUCUAAUGAUAGAAUCCCUGUGGUGGCUAAGUAUAAAACCAAUUGAGGAGUCUCUCAUUGAUUAAGAAAAGUCAAAAACACAAAUGCGUGUCAUGUUCUGAUUGUUAUUAUAUCUUCCCAUGACUGUGAGAUUUCGUACCCUUUAAUGAUGGCUUGUGGAUUACCCUACGCAGAUUCCGACGUCCCGGUGCGGCUAAUUACUUCUACAGCUCUUGGAGCCGGUGGCAUUGCAUCAACCGCAGUGACUUGUGAAAUGAGUCGUACGUUGACUAUAUAUACAAAACUGUAUUGGUGUAAUAACCUUUAUUCAUUCAUGUGAUCAGAAGGAAAACACGGAGCAAGUCCCUCUUGGACUGAACUGAAUCAUAUUGCUAAAUAUAUAUGAUUGUAAUAAGAUGUUAUUAAUGUUGAUUUAAAUAAUAGUAGAAAAAAGUCUAGUGAUAUGAUAUAGAGCAAUAUACAGGCAUGCACAUUAGGAUAGUAUUGCACAAUUGAUGAUAAUAUAUAUUGGGAAUAUUGUAUAAUACACUUGCCAUUGCAGUAUCAAUAUGCAGCGUUGUGGUUAUUGAUUGCAUUAUUUUCUGAUGGUUCCCAUUGUAUAAGUUCCUAUUUAAACUACA